rnacentral:rRNA from 1 species
CCUACGGGCGGCAGCAGUGAGGAAUAUUGGUCAAUGGACGAGAGUCUGAACCAGCCAAGUAGCGUGAAGGAUGACUGCCCUAUGGGUUGUAAACUUCUUUUAUAUGGGAAUAAAAUGUUCCACGUGUGGGAUUUUGUAUGUACCAUAUGAAUAAGGAUCGGCUAACUCCGUGCCAGCAGCCGCGGUAAUACGGAGGAUCCGAGCGUUAUCCGGAUUUAUUGGGUUUAAAGGGAGCGUAGGUGGAUUGUUAAGUCAGUUGUUAAAGUUUGGGGCUCAACCGUAAAAUUGCAGUUGAAACUGGCAGUCUGGAGUACAGUAGAGGUGGGCGGAAUUCGUGGUGUAGCGGUGAAAUGCUUAGAUAUCGCGAAGAACUCCGAUUGCGAAGGCAGCUCACUGGACUGCAACUGACACUGAGGCUCGAAAGUGUGGGUAUCAAACAGGAUUAGAUACCCGGGUAGUC